rnacentral:rRNA from 1 species
UAGGGAAUCUUCCGCAAUGGGCGAAAGCCUGACGGAGCAACGCCGCGUGAGUGAAGAAGGAUUUCGGUUCGUAAAGCUCUGUUGUUAGGGAAGAAUGAUUGUGUAGUAACUAUACACAGUAGAGACGGUACCUAACCAGAAAGCCACGGCUAACUACGCGCCAGCAGCCGCGGUAAUACGUAGGUGGCAAGCGUUGUCCGGAAUUAUUGGGCGUAAAGCGCGCGCAGGUGGUUUAAUAAGUCUGAUGUGAAAGCCCACGGCUCAACCGUGGAGGGUCAUUGGAAACUGUUAAACUUGAGUGCAGGAGAGAAAAGUGGAAUUCCUAGUGUAGCGGUGAAAUGCGUAGAGAUUAGGAGGAACACCAGUGGCGAAGGCGGCUUUUUGGCCUGUAACUGACACUGAGGCGCGAAAGCGUGGGGAGCAAACAGGAUUAGAUACCCUGGUAGUCCACGCCGUAAACGAUGAGUGCUAAGUGUUGGUCUCAUAAGAGAUCAGUGCUGCAGCUAACGCAUUAAGCACUCCGCCUGGGGAGUACGACCGCAAGGUUG